UACGGAGGGUGCAAGCGUUAUCCGGAUUCACUGGGUUUAAAGGGUGCGUAGGCGGGCAGGUAAGUCAGUGGUGAAAUCUCCGAGCUUAACUCGGAAACUGCCGUUGAUACUAUUUGUCUUGAAUAUUGUGGAGGUAAGCGGAAUAUGCCAUGUAGCGGUGAAAUGCUUAGAUAUGACAUAGAACACCAAUUGCGAAGGCAGCUUACUACACAACGAUUGACGCUGAGGCACGAAAGCGUGGGGAUCAAACAGG
rnacentral:rRNA from 1 species